AGGCAGUGUACAGUUAGCUG
rnacentral:miRNA from 1 species